rnacentral:rRNA from 1 species
AAAGUCCCGCAAGGGAUUAGUAGAGUGGCAAACGGGUGAGUAACGCGUGGGUGACCUGCCUUCGAGCGGGGGAUAACGUUCCGAAAGGGACGCUAAUACCGCAUAACAUCCUGCUUUUGAAUAAGCGGAGAUCAAAGCUGCGGAUCGCAAGACGUAGCACUCGAAGAGGGGCCCGCGUCCGAUUAGCUAGUUGGUGAGGUAAUGGCUCACCAAGGCGACGAUCGGUAGCCGGCCUGAGAGGGCGGACGGCCACACUGGGACUGAGACACGGCCCAGACUCCUGCGGGAGGCAGCAGUGGGGAAUUGUUCGCAAUGGGCGCAAGCCUGACGACGCAACGCCGCGUGGAGGAUGAAGAUCUUCGGGUCGUAAACUCCUUUCGAUCGAGACGAAUGGCCUCCGGGUUAACACCCCGGAGGAAUGACGGUACCGAGAGAAGAAGCCCCGGCUAACUCCGUGCCAGCAGCCGCGGUAAUACGGGGGGGGCAAGCGUUGUUCGGAAUUACUGGGCGUAAAGGGCUCGUAGGUGGCCAACUAAGUCAGACGUGAAAUCCCUCGGCUUAACCGGGGAACUGCGUCUGAUACUGGAUGGCUUGAGUAUGGGAGAGGGAUGCGGAAUUCCAGGUGUAGCGGUGAAAUGCGUAGAUAUCUGGAGGAACACCGGUGGCGAAGGCGGCAUCCUGGACCAUUACUGACACUGAGGAGCGAAAGCCAGGGGAGCAAACGGGAUUAGAUACCCCGGUAGUCCUGGCCCUAAACGAUGAAUGCUUGGUGUGACGGGUAUCGAUCCCUGUCGUGCCG